rnacentral:rRNA from 1 species
AUGCGAAAGCGUGGGGAGCAAACAGGAUUAGAUACCCUGGUAGUCCACGCUGUAAACGAUGUCGAUUUGGAGUUUGUUGCCUAGAGUGAUGGGCUCCGAAGCUAACGCGAUAAAUCGACCGCCUGGGGAGUACGGCCGCAAGGUUAAAACUCAAAUGAAUUGACGGGGGCCCGCACAAGCGGUGGAGCAUGUGGUUUAAUUCGAUGCAACGCGAAGAACCUUACCUGGUCUUGACAUCCAUAGAAUUCUGCAGAGAUGUGGGAGUGCCUUCGGGAACUAUGAGACAGGUGCUGCAUGGCUGUCGUCAGCUCGUGUUGUGAAAUGUUGGGUUAAGUCCCGCAACGAGCGCAACCCUUAUUCUUUGUUGCCAGCGAUUUGGUCGGGAACUUAAAGGAGACUGCCGUUGAUAAAGCGGAGGAAGGUGGGGACGACGUCAAGUCAUCAUGGCCCUUACGACCAGGGCUACACACGUGCUACAAUGGCGUAUACAAAGGGAAGCGAAGGUGCGAGCUGGAGCGGAUCUCAUAAAGUACGUCUAAGUUCGGAUUGGAGUCUGCAACUCGACUCCAUGAAGUCGGAAUCGCUAGUAAUCGUAGAUCAGAAUGCUACGGUGAAUACGUUCCCGGGCCUUGUACGCACCGCCCGUCACACCAUGGGAGUGGGUUGCACCAGAAGUAGAUAGCUUAACCGCGAGGGGGGCGUUUACCACGGUGUGAUUCAUGACUGGGGUGAAGUCGUAACAAGGUAACCA